rnacentral:rRNA from 1 species
GAUGAACGCUGGCGGCGUGCCUAAUACAUGCCAGUCGAGCGAACGGACGAGACUCUUGCUUGGCUGAUGUUAGCGGCGGACGGGUGAGUCACACGAGGAUAACCUACCUAUAAGACUGAGAUAACUUCGGGAAACCGGAGCUAACACCGGAUAAUAUUUUGAACCGCGUGGUUCAAAAGAGAAAGCCGGUCUUGCUGUCACUAAUAGAUGGUUCCGCGCUGCAUUAGCUAGUUGGUACGGUAACGGCUUACCAAGGCAACGAUGCAUAGCCGACCUGAGAGGGUGAUCGGCCACACUGGAACUGAGACACGGUCCAGACUCCUACGGGAGGCAGCAGUAGGGAAUCUUCCGCAAUGGGCGAAAGCCUGACGCAGCAACGCCGCGUGUGUGAUGAAGGUCUUCGGAUCGUAAAACUCUGUUAGUAGGGAAGAACAGAUGUGUAAGUAACUGUGCACAUCUUGACGGUACCUAAUCAGAAAGCCACGGCUAACUACGUG